UGGGGAAUAUUGCACAAUGGGCGCAAGCCUGAUGCAGCCAUGCCGCGUGUGUGAAGAAGGCCUUCGGGUUGUAAAGCACUUUCAGCGAGGAGGAAGGGUUCAGUGUUAAUAGCACUGUUCAUUGACGUUACUCGCAGAAGAAGCACCGGCUAACUCCGUGCCAGCAGCCGCGGUAAUACGGAGGGUGCAAGCGUUAAUCGGAAUUACUGGGCGUAAAGCGCACGCAGGCGGUUUGUUAAGUCAGAUGUGAAAUCCCGC
rnacentral:rRNA from 1 species